UACGUAGGGUGCUAGCGUUGUCCGGAUUUAUUGGGCGUAAAGGGCUCGUAGGCGGCGUGUCGCGUCGGGAGUGAAAGCCCGCUGCUUAACGGCGGGUUGGCUUCCGGUACGGGCAGACUAGAGUGCGGUAGGGGAGAUUGGAAUUCCUGGUGUAGCGGUGGAAUGCGCAGAUAUCAGGAGGAACACCAAUGGCGAAGGCAGAUCUCUGGGCCGUAACUGACGCUGAGGAGCGAAAGCAUGGGGAGCGAACAGG
rnacentral:rRNA from 1 species